UAGGGAAUCUUCGGCAAUGGACGAAAGUCUGACCGAGCAACGCCGCGUGAGUGAAGAAGGAUUUCGGAUCGUAAAACUCUGUUGUUAGAGAAGAACAAGGACGUUAGUAACUGAACGUCCCCUGACGGUAUCUAACCAGAAAGCCACGGCUAACUACGUGCCAGCAGCCGCGGUAAUACGUAGGUGGCAAGCGUUGUCCGGAUUUAUUGGGCGUAAAGCGAGCGCAGGCGGUUUCUUAAGUCUGAUGUGAAAGCCCCCGGCUCAACCGGGGAGGGUCAUUGGAAGCUGGGAGACUUGAGUGCAGAAGAGGAGAGUGGAAUUCCAUGUGUAGCGGUGAGAUGCGUAGAUAUAUGGAGGAACACCAGUGGCGAAGGCGGCUCUCUGGUCUGUAGCUGACGCUGAGGCUCGAAAGCGUGGGGAGCAAACAGG
rnacentral:rRNA from 1 species